ensembl:miRNA mdo-mir-7334 mdo-mir-7334
UGGCUGUGAUGAAUUUGUGUCACAGGGUCAGAGAAGGCUGGAUCCUUGACACACUUUCUGAGCCAUU